rnacentral:rRNA from 1 species
UACGGGGGGGGCAAGCGUUGUUCGGAAUUACUGGGCGUAAAGGGCUCGUAGGUGGCCAACUAAGUCAGACGUGAAAUCCCUCGGCUUAACCGGGGAACUGCGUCUGAUACUGGAUGGCUUGAGUUCGGGAGAGGGAUGCGGAAUUCCAGGUGUAGCGGUGAAAUGCGUAGAUAUCUGGAGGAACACCGGUGGCGAAGGCGGCAUCCUGGACAGAUACUGACACUGAGGAGCGAAAGCCAGGGGAGCAAACGGG